rnacentral:lncRNA from 1 species
ACCUGAUGGGCCUCGAGCCGGCUCGAGCCCACUUCCACCCCUACAUAUGAAUUGCUCUUCUCUUCAAAAGAUCUUGACAAUAUUAUAAUUUUAAGACCAUAGGUAUUUUAUUGAGUAUUCUUUUCAUGCAUAUUGGACAUAUUAUCAUAAAUAUCAAACCAAUGGAUUUCGUUUACUUAGAAUACUUGUAAGGAAAUUUAUUAAUUAAAUAAUAUUUAUUGUCA